AUUGAACGCUGGCGGCAUGCCUUACACAUGCAAGUCGAACGGUAACAGGUCUUCGGAUGCUGACGAGUGGCGAACGGGUGAGUAAUACAUCGGAACGUGCCUAGUAGUGGGGGAUAACUACUCGAAAGAGUGGCUAAUACCGCAUGAGAUCUACGGAUGAAAGCAGGGGAUCGCAAGACCUUGUGCUACUAGAGCGGCCGAUGGCAGAUUAGGUAGUUGGUGGGAUAAAAGCUUACCAAGCCGACGAUCUGUAGCUGGUCUGAGAGGACGAUCAGCCACACUGGGACUAAGACCCGGCCCAGACUCCUCCGGGAGGCAGCAGUGGGGAAUUUUGGACAAUGGGCGAAAGCCUGAUCCAGCAAUGCCGCGUGCAGGAUGAAGGCCUUCGGGUUGUAAACUGCUUUUGUACGGAACGAAAAGCCCCGGGUUAAUACCCUGGGGUCAUGACGGUACCGUAAGAAUAAGCACCGGCUAACUACGUGCCAGCCGCCGCCGUAA
rnacentral:rRNA from 1 species